rnacentral:rRNA from 1 species
GAUAGAACGCUAGCGGGAGGCUUAACACAUGCAAGUCGAGGGGCAGCAUAGGGUAGCAAUACUCUGAUGGCGACCGGCAAACGGGUGAGUAACGCGUAUGCAACCUACCCUGUACAGGGGGAUAACCCGGAGAAAUUCGGACUAAUAUCCCGUAAUAAUAUCCGGAGGCAUCUUUGGAUAUUUAAAGUUCCGACGGUACGGGAUGGGCAUGCGUAACAUUAACUGGGUUGGUAAGGUAACGGCUUACCAAGGCUAUGAUGUUUAGGGGUCCUGAGAGGGUGGUCCCCCACACUGGUACUGAGACACGGACCAGACUCCUACGGGAGGCAGCAGUGAGGAAUAUUGGUCAAUGGGCGCAAGCCUGAACCAGCCAUCCCGCGUGCAGGAAGACGGCCCUAUGGGUUGUAAACUGCUUUUCCAGGGAGAGAAACUUACGCACGUGUUGCGUGACUGACGGUACCCUGGGAAUAAGCAUCGGCUAACUCCGUG